AUUCGUCCAAUUGAAGCAGAGGACAGUGGCGGACGGGUGAGUAACGCGUGAGGAACCUGCCUUUCAGAGGGGGACAACAGUUGGAAACGACUGCUAAUACCGCAUGAUACAUUGGGGUCGCAUGGCCCUGAUGUCAAAGAUUUAUCGCUGAAAGAUGGCCUCGCGUCUGAUUAGCUAGUUGGUGAGGUAACGGCCCACCAAACCUACGAUCAGUAGCCGGACUGAGAGGUUGAACGGCCACAUUGGGACUGAGAUACGGCCCAGACUCC
rnacentral:rRNA from 1 species